CACGCCGUAAACGAUGGAUACUAGCUGUUGGAUCGUGAGGUUCAGUGGCUAAGCAAAAGUGAUAAGUAUCCCACCUGGGGAGUACGUUCGCAAGAAUGAAACUCAAAGGAAUUGACGGGGGCCCGCACAAGCGGUGGAGCAUGUGGUUUAAUUCGAUGAUACGCGAGGAACCUUACCAAGGCUUAAAUGUAGAUUGACAGGACUGGAAACAGUUUUUUCUUCGGACAAUUUACAAGGUGC
rnacentral:rRNA from 1 species